CGGAACGUAGUUCAGAGGAAAGAACAAUCUUUUCAUUCUCCUAUGCUCUAGUGAAUUGAUAGCCGCAGGUUCAAGUCCUGCCGUUCCGA
rnacentral:tRNA from 1 species